rnacentral:rRNA from 1 species
GACGAACGCUGGCGGCGUGCUUAACACAUGCAAGUCGAACGGAAAGGCCCCUUUGGGGGUCCUCGAGUGGCGAACGGGUGAGUAACACGUGAGUAACCUGCCCUUGACUUCGGGAUAACUUCAGGAAACUGGGGCUAAUACCGGAUAGGAAUCCUUGCUGCAUGGUGGGGGUUGGAAAGCUUCGGCGGUUUUGGAUGGACUCGCGGCUUAUCAGCUUGUUGGUGGGGUAGUGGCUUACCAAGGCUUUGACGGGUAGCCGGCCUGAGAGGGCGACCGGCCACAUUGGGACUGAGAUACGGCCCAGACUCCUACGGGAGGCAGCAGUGGGGAAGAUUGCACAAGGGGCGGAAGCCUGAUGCAGCAACGCCGCGUGCGGGAUGACGGCCUUCGGGUUGUAAACCGCUUUCAGCAGGGGCGAAGCUUGUGGUGACGGUACCUGCAGAAGAAGCACCGGCUAACUACGUG